UACGGGGGGGGCAAGCGUUGUUCGGAAUUACUGGGCGUAAAGGGCGCGUAGGCGGCCUACUAAGUCGGACGUGAAAUCCCUCAGCUUAACUGGGGAACUGCGUCCGAUACUGGAUGGCUUGGAUUUGGGAGAGGGAUGCGGAAUUCCAGGUGUAGCGGUGAAAUGCGUAGAUAUCUGGAGGAACACCGGUGGCGAAGGCGGCAGCCUGGACCAAUAUUGACGCUGAGGAGCGAAAGCUAGGGGAGCAAACGGG
rnacentral:rRNA from 1 species